rnacentral:lncRNA from 1 species
UUGAAGAUGGUUUGUGUCUGAUUGUGUGUGUGUGUGUAAAUANUUGUUAAAUUGGUGUCCUUGCAGGGCGGGAUGAUUGGUGAAGCCUUCUUUUCUGCCAUCUUGCUUCACCUUCCUCCCCAAUCCUUUCUUAAGACUCCAUCUCUCAAUGCUGUCACAUUGGGGAUUAAUUUUCAACAUGAGUGUUAGAAGGGACAAAUAUUCAAACCAUAGCAAUGAGUAAGGAGAUUGAAUCAGUAAUAA